GACAGACAAAAUGGAACAACUCGAUUACAUCGACCCCAGUGCGUAGCUAGUACUUAUUUAAUCGACCCCGAAAGGAUGAAAGGCAAAGUCGACCUCAGCGGAAUUUGAACUCAGAACGUAGCGGCAGACGAAAUACUGUUAAGUAUUUCGCCCGGCGUGCUAACGAUUCCGCCAGCUCAUACCUGAGAGUGAACUUGUCGGCGGAGACUGGAAAAAUUGUACACACACACACACACACAUAUUUGUAUGUAUAUGUAUAUAUGUGUGCGGGUGAGUGCGUACGCAUGUGUUUGCGUUUGCGUUCGUGUCUUGUGCUUGUCCUUCACCGUUUGUUUACGUCGUCGUAACUUAGCGAAUCAUCAAAAGACUAGAUAAAAUAAGUAUAGUGGUGUCCCAAAAUGGUCUGAAUUAAGCAAAAGAAACGUAAAUGUUCUUUAAAGCAACUGUUUUUUUUUUAUUUUUGUGUAUUUCUAACGACGUAGUUGUAAGUGUCUUUUGCUUGUCAGCUAUUCAUUUACUAAUGUUAGAAAUGACCUUUAAAUACGGAAGUCAAGCAAAUAAUAGUCACGUUGCGUUUUCUCUAUAAGAAUUUAGGAUUACAUAUACAAAUAAACAUUAAUAUCGUUGUAACAGUUAAACCUCAGAUCGAACGCUAGUGCCAGAGAUAAAGGCUAUUCCAGCCGUGACAAUGCCGUAUUUUUCGUAAGUACAUGAAACCCAGGAUCACAUCAUUCAAAGUGUUUUCUAUUUAUUAAGGCAUGGUAUGACCUGAGUGCUUAAAAGUCCUUUCAUUGGUUCGUAAAAUAUUAAUAUUCAAGCACCUACUUUCGUUUUGAAGUUAAAAUCAUUAAAAGUGAAAAUUGUUCAUUCCUAAGGCUAUCUUGCUGGUGAUAAUCUCAAGAGGAAACAUAAGCAGUCUAAAGCGUCUUUAAAACACCGUUCACAAGAAUCAUUAUUUUCUUCUGGUCGAGUUUACAAUGAAUAAACCUACACUCAAAAAUGUACUGUUAUCAAAACCGUUCAUCGUAUAAUCGUGUGCUAUAAAAUGAAUCCUGUCAAUAAAAUGAAUACCAGUCAAGUUCUGGUUUCGAUGGUAUUGUGUAACUCCAUCCCUUCCAAAUUGCUGGCCUAAUGAGAAAAUCUAGAAGAAUUAUUAUAGUUACUUAAUUAGUUAGUUAUUAUUGCUACUAUGCUCGUGUCGGAAAAAAAGAUGUCCGUUUUGCUAAUAAUAGAGAAUGUCGCUUCAACACAAUGGGAAAAACCAUUAAUAAAUGUCAGUAACCCAGUAAAUAUAUGUCCGUACACAGAGUUGCAACACAUGAAGAAUCAGAUACGAUUGAAACAUGUCGGCUGAAAAUAUCAUCCACAUAAUGUAUGUACGUAUGUGCAAAUACACACACACACACAUAUUACACACAUAUAUAUGUAUAUAUAUGUAUGCAUAUAUGUAUGUUUAUACGUAUGUAUAUGUACAUAUAUAUGUAUGUAAAUAUAUAUAUAUAUAUAUAUAUAUAUAUAUAUAUGCACAUAUAAAUGCAUUUAAGCAUACAUAAAUACAUAUAUGCAUACAUAUAGGUAUACAUAUAUGUAUAUAUGUAUAUAUGCAUACAUAUAGGUAUACAUAUAUGUAUAUAUGUAUAUAUGCAUACAUAUAGUAUAUAUAUAUAUAUGUAUAUAUAUAUAUAUAUAUAUAUAUAUAUAUAUAUAUAUAUAUAUAUAUAUAUACACAUAUAUAUAUAUUUAUAUACGCCACCACGAAGUAUAGCCUCUGGCCGUAUGUGAAUUUGGUAGACGGAAACCGGAAGAAUCUCGUCAUAUAUAUAUAUAUAUAUAUAUAUGCAUAUAUAAACAUAGGACGUUACGAACAGUGCAUACAAUAUGAAAUACGUAAAAGCAGGACAAGUAAACACAGAUAUCAGGACCCUUCAUCAGUUGUUAGCUGUCUAUCUACUCCUCUACUCCUCAUUUCGAGCACUAAACGACAAUAUGAGUCUUCAAAUACAGUUGCUCCCAUACAUUCUAAAAUACAAUUUAGGAUGUAUGCAGCGUCUGCUUACACGAGACCAUCGUGAAUCUUUCUUUUCCUCACGUAAACAUCAUUCCUUUCCUGCGCAGACGUUUAGAAGACUGGACGUUGUUUUAUUUCUGUCUCUUCUAUCUUUUCUCUUUUCAAAGAAAAUAUUUCUCCCAGCAUUCACUAGUUUCCUCUUGUUCUGGUCUGAUGAUUCUCCAUAUCUGUUUUCGUUGGGUUUCCUUGUAUAUCUCCACUGUCCUGUUUUUGUUCUCAACUUUAACUCUCCAUAACUCCUGAAUUUUACGUUAGAGUUUAUGUUAGAAUUGAAGACUCAUAUUCCUACAAUCCAACAAGUUCAUAUAAUUAAUCUCCAAGUUUGCGCAUAUGAUUGCGGCCUUUUUGUCCUGGAGUAUGCAUCUGAACUGGUCAUUGAAACGCUCCAGAUACGUUUUUAUGUGAUCAAUCAAAAAUGCGAGCACGCUUAAGAUUUUACCACGAAAACAAUAAAUUUGUUCCUUUCCCGAAUGUAAAGGUUUUUCAAAUGUCUACAAAAACCACAGAAGUCGCUCACUUUCUAUCACCCACCCAAAAAUAGAUUACCCCUAGAAAGACGAUUAAGAACUAUAAUUUCUUACAUGAACAUUCAGAAUAUAUAUUAUCACCCAAGUGUUUCCAUGUUUUAAGUGAAUAUUUCGAGCAAAGCUCAAAAAGUAGUCAGGAAUCCAAUGACAGUAAGACUCAGUAAACCACUUGCCCGCAAAAAUCUUCACACCAGAGAAUAAGUGGGUCAUAAAUUUAUCUAACCUAAAACUUUCGCCUGACGAUGUCUCAGUUUUGGACUGAGUUUCUUCCCGAGCAAUAAGAAUUUUGACAAGAAUAAAGUAGCUUAAGGGCUAUUUCAAUUUGUACACCGUCAAAAGCUGAAUGAAUAUAUAUAUAUUUGAAAAACUGAAAAUAUAAAUGACGAUGAUCGAAUCUGGCAUAAUUGGAUUGAAAAUAAUCUCAAUUGGUAUCCAGAUAAAGUUCGGAAUGGACGUUCACAAGCACUACUGGAAUUUCUUGAAUCUUGUCAGGCAGGCAUUAUAGAAAGCUUUAAAACAAAUGGAAAGAAAUACUGGAAUAACCUCACGAAUUCCCAACGUUACGCGAUCCGACGUCUAGCUAAUAAUAAUUCUAUUGUUAUUAAAAUGGCGGUUAAGGGAGGCGCUAUCGUAGCUAUGGACAAAAGUGAGUAUAUUUUGACUUGUGAAGAACUUUUAAAUGACAAAACUUCAUAUGAAGAAUUACCUGUCAAUCCAAACAGGUAUAUCAGCCGAAACGUUGUGUUAACAGCAAACAAGAUGAGGACAAAUAUCCGUCAAAUGUAAAUAAUGUAAAUAAUGUGUGGUUACUGUGAAUCACGAUUAAAGUAAAUAGCAAAUGAAAUAGCUAAGAUUUGAAAAGAUAGUCAAACCUUCACGCAUAAUUUUAACAAACACAAUACAAUAAAUGCCAGAAUUCCUUUAGUGAUUAACUGGCACCGAAAUUUCGCUGGCAUUUCAAAAGUGUUGCAGAAAAGUUACCAGCAUGUGGCGAACAAAUAUCCUCGUUUCAAACAGAUAUUUCCCCAGCCGCCUAUUGUAGCUUUUAGGCGGAAUAAGAAUAUGAGAGAAUUAUUGACCUUUAUUUCUGAAUAUAAGAAAACGAACAUUGGAGCAUCUGCACGCUGUACCUUGAAAACAGCCACAGGAGAAGUAAGCCCUGUUCAUUGUGCAACAACAUGAGUGAAGUGAAUUCCCUCAAGAAUCAUAACAGAAAUGUUAUGAUUUAUACAGAGGGUGGGACAUGUACAGAUUCUUAUUUGGUGUACGUGGUAGAACGCACGAAGCACAACUUGAUUUAUGUUGGUUGUACAACAGAACAAUUAAACAAAAGAUUUAAUGGGCACAGAUUCGACGUCAGGCACAAUAACAGUAGUUCGACAGGAGUUGCCGAACAUUUCGUUUCAAACGGCUGCAAUUUUGAAAAAAGACUUGAAAGUGUAUAUUCUCAGAAAAUAUUCUGAAUCUGCUUCACUUUCUCUUCUUAGAAAGCAUGAGGAGAAAUAUGUUUGCAGGUUAUCAACAUCACGCCCUGGAAGAAUGAAUAAAAUGACAGGAGAAUUUAUACAAAACUGUUUGAUCAAAUAUUCUUUUUUUCCCUUUUCUGUUUUCUUUCCUCUUUUUUUUCUGUCUCUCAUUUCUGUCUUUUUCUUUUCGCCUGUUAUAAAAUUGCAACUUAAGGACUGAUAAUGCCAUUACAUCAACGUGUGGACGCUAGUUGCUCUCGGUCAUACUUUAAAUUUCUAUAAUUUCGAAAUUUUAUCAGCACUUAUUUUGAAUUUGACAAAGACAGACUUACUGUCGAAAUAUCGUUCAACCAAUAAAAUAUCUUAGAAUCGAAUCGCGCUCUUCAUCUUGACUAUUUAUCUUUGUGAAGAGUUACGUAAAUCCUUUUCAAAAUAUUUUUAUUAUUAUUAUUAUUAUUAUUAUUAUUAUUAUUAUUAUUAUUAUUAUUAUUAUUAUUAUUAUUUUUAUUAUUAUUAUUAUUAUUAUUAUUAUUAUUAUUAUUAUUAUUAUUAUUAUUAUUAUUAUUAUAACUGAGUUGAUAUCAAAAUGCAUUCUCGAAGUCUUCAUUGGUCGAAGCUUUUGAUCGUUUUCUAUUUUUAUUUGACAGAUUUUCAAUGGCUGACAAGAGAAAAGUGUGUCGUCGUAGCAUUUCUUAACAACGACAUUCGAACGGCUGGCCUUGAAGAAUUUAUGAAAUCAGAAAGAAAAAUAUCACGCACAUUCCAGAAAUGGUCUGGUCAAGUAUAAGCCUCAACAUUUAUUAUUUUUAAUGUGACUGGAGCCUUGUUUUGUUUUAGUUUUAAUUCUUUUACUGUUAUUAUAUACAGCCACUAGAUUUACAAUAUAACACAAAGGAUAAGAAUAUCUCUGUAAGAACAAUAACAAAAAAAAAAACAUUCCAUAAACUGCAGUAAACAAUAAUAAUAGUAGAGUUACACAUAAAACAACAACAACAACAAUAAUAAAAGCACUAUAAAAGCGAUUAAGAAUUAAUCAGCAGCUGUCUGAAGCAAUCGUAAUGGUACUGAUGACGAGAAGGAUAAAAAAUAUAAUGAGUAUUUCCUUCCGAUAACUCUGGGAGUAACAGUGCUAGCG
rnacentral:lncRNA from 1 species